rnacentral:tRNA from 1 species
ACUUAAAUAGUUUAUCAAAAAUUUCAGCUUGUGGAGUUGAAGAUGAAUUUAUUAUUCUUUAAGUA